rnacentral:rRNA from 1 species
CGGGGGCCCGCACAAGCGGUGGGGCAUGUGGUUUAAUUCGACGCAACGCGCAGAACCUUACCAGCCCUUGACAUGUCCAGGACCGGUCGCAGAGAUGUGACCUUCUCUUCGGAGCCUGGAGCACAGGUGCUGCAUGGCUGUCGUCAGCUCGUGUCGUGAGAUGUUGGGUUAAGUCCCGCAACGAGCGCAACCCCCGUCCUUAGUUGCUACCAUUUAGUUGAGCACUCUAAGGAGACUGCCGGUGAUAAGCCGCGAGGAAGGUGGGGAUGACGUCAAGUCCUCAUGGCCCUUACGGGCUGGGCUACACACGUGCUACAAUGGCGGUGACAAUGGGAUGCAAAGGGGCGACCC